AAAAAUUAGAAUAUGAUAUGUAUUUAUAUUAUAAGAAUGAUGAAACUUUUUAUAUAUUUAAUCCACUUUAGUUGAAGAAGCUUCUCAGGUUGAUGAAGAUCAGGAGGACUUGAUGCCGGCAGCAAGCAGUGAACCAUCACAGUUUCCUGAUGAAAUUGAAGAACCCGGCACCAGCUCAGGAAGCAGAGAAGGAAAUGCUGAGCAACAUUUUCUGGAUGAUGAAGAUGAUGAUUCCUCCUACGACGAGGAUCCAGAUUAUAAUCCUUUUGUUUGUUUUUCAGGAUCUCCUCUUGACAAAUAUGAGCUUGGAAGGAAGCUGGGAAAGGGAAUCUAUGGCACUGUCUACGUGGCAACACGCAAAUCUGAUGGAAAAAAGGUAAGUCACUUUUGCUGCACAUGUUGUUUACUUAAUUUUUUCUUCUUGUAA
rnacentral:lncRNA from 1 species